GCACUUGUAGCUCAUCUGGAUAGAGCAUCGGACUACGAAUCCGGGGGUAGCAGGUUCAAAUCCUGCCAAGUGCA
rnacentral:tRNA from 1 species